GUUUGGGAGGAAGUAUUUUUUUUCUCCUCUGCGUCAUGGUGAAGCAGAGAGGAUGGACCCAAAUAUAAUAAAGGGGAGGCAGGAAGAUCGUUGGAUGAGGUUUAUUCAAGAUUAAGGUAACACAAGGAACAGGGAAACUAUAGCUAACAGAAAGCUGGACUUAAAUACAAACUACACUAAUGAUGAGGUGCAGGUGGAGUCAGGCAGAGAAACACAGGUGAGGGAAAUGAACAGAGAAACACUUGAAACAGGGAAGGUGCUGAUUGGACAGAAGGGUUAAUGAGGGAGAUGCAGUGCAGGUGUGGAGGCAGAGCAGACUGAGGAAGAACUCAGGUAACAUGUUGGGCUGAUUAAUCCGAGAGAAAACAGGUGUGGAGGGACGAUCAGGAGGGAAGACGCCGCAAAACCCAGAAAACACAAACAUACAACGAAACUAAAAUGACCGGACACAUUUUCAGCUGCUGUGAGGACGGCUAAAAGGAGCUGAUUCUCAGCCCAAAACUCCCCGAAGAGCUGAGCCAAACCUGACAGCUGUGGUCGGGCCAGAGCCGGCUCAUGUUCGGUCCUCUGGGACCAGAAGACGGGCGUUUGUCCCGACACUCAGCUGCUGUUGGCUCGAGUUGGAGGAAAUCUCGAGCAGGUCUGAUACAUUCAUUUUUCCGGGGACACCUGGAGGCCCUUCACAGAUGUCUGCAGCCCCCCUGAGUUACACUUUCUGGGCCGCUGUUGUAAGUUUGAAUCUCGGUUCCUUUGAGCUGAAAUAUUUGUCCUCCCACGUUGUCGUGCCUGGGCAAAGAGGAGGAGGAGGGGAAGCUUCAAUAAGGCCUGCUUUGUUCAGGCGUCCCCCUCUCUGGCUCGGAGAGAGAGACACUCGAACAAAGCUGCAUAUCAAUCGCCAUCCACCAAGGGAGUUGCUAAGCUACACAACACCCACCACCUCCCACCAGCUGCCCCAGUCACUGAAGAGAGGAGAGAAGAAAGAGGGCAGAGAUGCAGGGGAGGAAGAACUGCUGCGCUGCGCCGAGAUAAGCCAAAACCCUGACAACCAGCUGCGACGCAGCAGCACGUCAGAAACACCGCCGAAAAACCAACAAGGUCCCGGGUUUGAACCCGUCUGGGGCCAAAGUCGGCUCCUUCAGGUGCUCGGCCAGCUUCCUCCCACCACAAAGACAGACGUGAAGGGUCGGAGGAGCUCUGCUGAUGUGCAGCCCGGCUAGUAACAGAAUACAUCUAACAGGAUUACAAGAUUAGGAUGCAAAAGAGUUCUGUGUCCUCGACUGGUUUCACCUCUCAUCCAGGAGGCUUCUUCAGUUCUGUGUCUGUAUUCUGGUUACAAGUUACAGGGAAAAAAGAAGAAGACAUAAUUAGAUUACAGAUACAUUCAGUAUAACAGGGUGAUUACAGGCAGGAUCACAAAUUCAAAAUACCAUCACAUGACAAACACUUCACGAGUCUCACACAACCAAAACAAACCAAACAGGAGAGUGUGUGUUUUUACAGAACACAUCGUUAUAAAGAUUAAAUAAAGUCGAGCUGCAGACA